rnacentral:rRNA from 1 species
UACGUAGGUGACAAGCGUUGUCCGGAUUUACUGGGCGUAAAGAGCGCGCAGGCGGUCGAUCAAGUCGAGUGUGAAAGCCCCCGGCUCAACUGGGGAGGGUCAUUCGAUACUGAUCGGCUCGAAGGCAGGAGAGGGUAGUGGAAUUCCCGGUGUAGUGGUGAAAUGCGUAGAUAUCGGGAGGAACACCAGUGGCGAAGGCGACUACCUGGCCUGUUCUUGACGCUGAGGCGCGAAAGCUAGGGGAGCAAACGG